UUUUUUAGAUAGAGCUCUGAACACUUGCUGUGACUGUCACUUCAUGUUGAAUUUAUCAUAUAGAAUUUAAGGCGGAAGACUGGGGAGCAAUCUGUCACAAACGAUUGUAUUCGUAAUCGUUGAGGGUUGGGAUGGGGGCUGGGGAGAAGAUAAGCAUCCUAGGGCCGCUCUUGUCGCCUGCACCAUUCAUUCGGCUCCAGUGGCAGUGGCGAGGGGAUUUGCGUAGGCUGAGUGUGUAAUGUGUUUCCUUCAAGCCUGCCUUGAUGGUUCUGUCUAUGCUGUACUUCAUGCACGUAAAUGCCUCUCAGGUUUUUUCAGCUAAGUGAUAACUCAGCUUGUCUUUCCCGGUGAAUUCGGUAAUAAAUACAUAUAUGGGCUAGAUGUGGGGUGUUCUGACUUAGUUAGAUCCUCUCGUGUCCUGGAAUAGACAAGUGGACUCAAUCAUUGUGCUAGCGACAAGAUACAUACUUUCCAGGGAAGCACGGGGUUUUAUGCUAAGUUUACAAUGACAUGAACUGAAAAGCAAUUCAAAGUCAAGGUUAGUAUGACAACCUCACAUCCGUCUAGGGCAUCUAGAGGGGAAAACGGUCAAAAUGCAACAUUAUUUUCUUUGAAAACUGAACAUCUGUUAGGGGAUUUUGAAACGAUAGAGAAGUAGAACAGUUGAGUUGCUUCUUGAACUCAUUUAAUGUGUACAUUUUACUCUGGGAAGUAAGUAUUUUCCCAAGACUGCUAUUCAGCGCUGCAUUUUUUUCCUCUGAUGUGCCAGGCGUUUCUUCACAACCUCUGGAUGUUGCAAGUCAAGUACUCUUAAUAGCUUGCAGAUCUAUAUCUGGGUAUCAAAAUCACAGGCUUUUGAACUUUGCCAAUCAGAAUCCCACAUUACAUUUCCUUUUUAUGUCACAUGCUCAAUGAGCUUAACUGACACAUGGAAAAUUUCCUGUAUACAUCUUACUCAAGGCAACACUGGAAAUUUGGGUUUAUGGAAUGCGUCGGCAGCCCUGAACGCUCUUGGCUUCUUCGCUGCUGGCUUGGUCUGUGGCCCAGAAUGAUGCAAGUUAUGCGUAGCUCAGAACUCUCAAAUUAGCUGCUGGGGCGGUGUUAGGAGUGUGUUCAGGCUCAAGAGCCAUUUCUGAGGGCUGGAAGAGGGAGUGGGGAGGCUCUGGCCCACUCCCCACUGUGAGGCAGUGGAGGUUACUGUUGUUUGUGAAGACUCAGGCGGUUAACUUCUGCAGGAAAUCUGCCCUCAUUCCCAGCCUGCAGUAUGGCUAGGGGCCUCAUCCUGGGCCCCCGUGGGAUACUGGGAUUAUUCUAUCUGUAGCACUUAUCAUAUUACACUAAAGAUCUUCUCAUGGUUCUCUCCUCCAACUAGACGGGGGAGGCAUUGAGAGACAGGACUCAGCACCCAGCACUGUGUCUGACCUGCAGAGAUAGUAAAGGCAGCCUAGGUGCUGGGUAGGCUGUAGGACUAAGCAGGACUGGACAUGGGGAUGCCAAUGAUAAUAACAGCUCCUAAUUAUGGAACAGGUACUCAGUGAUCAUAAAUGCUAGCCUAGGUGAUUCCGUACACCCAUUUUACAGAUGAGAAAGGUAAAUAAGAUGUAGCAAGGUCAGGUACUGUUCACAGCGUAAAUUAGGAAGCCAGAUAACUGAAAGGGGAACUGGGGAAUCCCAGGCUAUUCCUUAUGCUCUGAACAUACACACCUCUGAUUUAUCUGAAGAAAGAUAAUAUUUCCAUGAUCAAAAUACAAUGGAACAGCAGUUACAGAGCUAGUGAAGCCUAGAAAGAGUCCAGGCCUUGCUGCGGUUUUCUUCCAGUGGCACUCAGAGGGGUUUGUGUUCUCAGUUUCUGUAUUAUUUUUUGGCCUAUGCAGUAUUUCAUUCUUAGCAUUUUGCAAUCAAUUGGUGGUCUCUCAAUAUUUCUAUGUAUCUGGCUUUACCACGUCCUAGUUGUGUGAUCUUGGAAAAUUUACUUCUGUGUUCCUCUGUUUCCUCUGCUGUGAAUGUGGGGAUGGAGGGUUGUCUUCAGGAGUGACCAUUCUAAUAUUUGCCAAGAUUCUAGAAUGGUGCUUAGCACGUUCUGAGUGGGCAGCAAACAUUAGAUGUUCUGAUUUAUGGUUCUAGCUGUCCCUGUCUCUUCUGUCUUCUGCUUGCCACUGUCCCCACCUACCUGAGCUUCCCUCUUGUGGCUCUGCUGCCCACAGGUGUGUUGGGUGCUGGGAACUUUGGGUGGAGCAUUUGCUGCAUCUGUCAGCCUGGGAUUAGGGGCCAGUGGUCCACGCUCAUCCUCUCUGAGAGGCAGCCGCUUCUGCAGGGGCUGCCAUGGAUUGUGGCUUGUCUCUGUAAGUGGCCUGCUUCUCUGGCCUUCGCCCCCUUUCCAUCUAUCAAAAUCUCCCUCUGUCUCCCUGCCUCUCUCUCCCUCCUCUCAAAGGUCUCGAGCUUCUCCCCUCUUCCUCCCUGCUGGCAUUAUCUCCUCCCACAGCUUGAGCUUUGGGGAAACAAAAGCCAGGUGUCUUGGCUUUGGACUUUUGAAACAAACCUCCCUCGAGGCAGGGGCACAGAGAGGCCUGACUUCCUUUGUAGAGCAGAGGGCAAACGCUGAGAUAAAAACACAAAUUAAUAUAUCAGUAAAUUAUCCUGCCCCACUGACAUACUCUCUAAUCAGAAAGACAGUGAAAACACGGGAGGAUGCCAGGAAAGAAUCCAGGGGAGGAAGGAGGAGCCACACAGCCAGCAGCAGCCCGAGGAGAGCAGCCCCUCGGGAGGCUGCAACGGCUGAACUUUUCCCCUGACAUUUUACUGGAUGUGCAGGGAGCACCAGCUUGCACCACCGUGGGGUGACAGGAAGAGAGAGACAACAGUGAGAAAUGGAGAAUGGAGGAACCAAGGAAGAAAACCGAGGCAGGGGCAAAGAGGCAGGGCUAAUAACCAUGUGGGCUAAGAUCUCACUCCUUUGGACUCAUAAUCAUCACAGUGACCUUCCUUAGUGGCCUCACUCACUACAGAAGUCACCCCAUUUUAAAGACGAGGGGCUGGGCAUGGUGGCUCACACCUGUAAUCUCAGAGGCAGGUGGAUCACCUGAGGUCGGGAGUUCGAGACCAGCCUGACCAACAUGGAGAAACCUCAUCUCUACUAAAAAUACAAAAUUAGCCGGGCGUGGUGGCAGGCGCCUGUAAUCCCAGCUACUCAGGAGGCUGAGGCAAGAGAAUCGCUUGAACCUGGGAGGCGGAAGGAAACACCUGCUUAAGAAGGGUGUUUGAAAAGUCAGAGCCACACCCAGACCAGAAGAUUCGGGCAGACUGAUGGACAUCAUUAUGAUGAGAAAAAAAAAAUAUCUGUAAGUUUCAGCCAAAAUAAAAGAAAAAAUGUGGAGUGAGGAAAGGAAGAACAACCACAAAACCAAUGUUCUUUUUAGAACUUGCCAGAAUCACAAUAGAAAUAUUGAAGCACUAUUAGACCAGUAUUUUCUAAACAUAUCUGA
rnacentral:lncRNA from 1 species